rnacentral:rRNA from 1 species
AGAACGAACGCUGGCGGCAGGCCUAACACAUGCAAGUCGAACGCUCGUAGCAAUACGAGAGUGGCAGACGGGUGAGUAACACGUGGGAACCUUCCCUAUGGUUCGGAAUAGCUCAGGGAAACUUGGGGUAAUACCGGAUAAGCCCUUCGGGGGAAAGAUUUAUCGCCAUUGGAUGGGCCCGCGUCGGAUUAGCUAGUUGGUGAGGUAACGGCUCACCAAGGCAACGAUCCGUAGCUGGUCUGAGAGGAUGAUCAGCCACACUGGGACUGAGACACGGCCCAGACUCCGUACGGGAGGUAGCAGUGGGGAAUAUUGGACAAUGGGCGCAAGCCUGAUCCAGCCAUGCCGCGUGAGUGACGAAGGUCUUCGGAUUAGUAAACUCGUUUGGCGGGACGAUAAUGACGGUACCCGCAGAAUAAGCCCCGACUAACUUCGCGCCAGCAGCCGC